AUCCAAUAAAAAAAACAAAAAACAGACAUCACACCACCCUCACAAACAAAACACACAUAGCGAAAUGGCGACGGCAGCAGCCGCAGCUCGAUCUGUUUUCCGAUCAACCUCCAUCCGGAACGCGGCGGCGAGGAUGGCUUCUCAAUCCAAAUCUGCUCCUCGCUCACCUUUUUCCAUCCCGUCCCGAAACUCUUUAUCUCGCCGCUUUUUCCGACGUCCGGUGGAAAUGAGUGCUUGUUUGGAGUCACUGCAACCCUUUCACACCGUUACGGCUUCGGCUUUAAUGACAUCAAUGCUGACUCUUUCUCAAAAUGGUUAUGGUUGGCUCCCUGAAGGCGUUGACAAGACUAGAUGAAGAUCGUGAAUCAAAGAUGGAAUGACUUGGAUUUGUCUAUGUUGUGAAGCUUAUUAUAAAUAGGGAAUAUUUAGCUUGCAAUGAUGAUGUGUGAUGAUUGUUGAGAAGUUUGAAGCAUUAAAACAUCUAGAAUUCCUACGAUUCAUUCCAUAGUGCUUGCUUGGUGUUCGGUUAGAUGUUUAUGUUGUCAAGGAGUUGCUGAAGCCGCCAAAUGAUCUUUUUUGGUUUAUCUGAACUACUAAUUGUGUAUUCAUGGUCCUAAUAAACAUCUUGGCCUUUUAUGAUAUGUUUUAGUGAAGCAGAUCAUCAAUUGUUUUCUAACUACAAGCUUGAACAAACUGCUAGAUUAUGAUUGUUUAGUUUUGCUGAAUGUAUCCACUUCUUAUGUGUUGCUGAAUCACAGAUUGUAGUCAAUAAUAUACAAUGCAUGGUUUCUUUUGGCUCAAA